ACGAACGCUGGCGGCGUGCUUAACACAUGCAAGUCGAACGAUGAAAGCGGGGAGCUUGCUCCUGCUGGAUUAGUGGCGAACGGGUGAGUAACACGUGAGCAAUCUGCCCCGAACUCUGGGAUAAGCGUUGGAAACGACGUCUAAUACCGGAUACGACGCGCGAAGGCAUCUUCUGCGCGUGGAAAGAACUUCGGUUCGGGAUGAGCUCGCGGCCUAUCAGCUAGUUGGUGAGGUAAUGGCUCACCAAGGCGACGACGGGUAGCCGGCCUGAGAGGGUGACCGGCCACACUGGGACUGAGACACGGCCCAGACU
rnacentral:rRNA from 1 species